AUGUUGAUUUCAUUUUUUCUUAAUAUUCAUUGUGGCUUUUUUGUUUUGGAGAUAUCUUAGUCUCCUUUUAGCUCAACUUUCACUUGUUUAUUCUAUAAUACGAAAACUUCCCGAUUGUAUUCAAAAUAAAUUAUUUUGUACGAGCAUAUCUGAUCAAUUUCUGAAUAGAUUUUGAACUUUAUAUUGAUAUUUGCAGGCUACAUCGACUAAACUUAAUGCAGAUUUAGCUCACACUUUGCGAACUAUAAGAUUGUCCAGGGUUACAUACAACCUUUACACAUGGAGUUUGCCACAACUGGGUCAGGAUGUGGUCUGGAAAUCAUUAGAGGAGAGACUGAGAUAUAGAGAAUUGAAGCUUUCGUCAAAGUCUAGCAAAAGAAAUAUCGCGAAUCCUUGCAUUCCUAGAGGGUAUGAGUACCCUCAUAUCUCUAAUGCAAGUUAUGUAAAACAUGCAAUCUUUCAACCAGCUGGGAAUUUCACUACAUGCAGAUCAGAAGCUUUUUCAUUGUUAAAAAGAACAGAAGAUAGAUGCCUUCACUCACCAUGUAAAAUCACCUCAUCGUUCCGGGAGUUAUUAGGCGAGCAACAUU